AUUAGCUAGUUGGUGGGGUAAAGGCCUACCAAGGCGACGAUCCAUAGCUGGUCUGAGAGGAUGAUCAGCCACAUUGGGACUGAGACACGGCCCAAACUCCUACGGGAGGCAGCAGUGGGGAAUAUUGGACAAUGGGCGCAAGCCUGAUCCAGCCAUGCCGCGUGAGUGAUGAAGGCCCUAGGGUUGUAAAGCUCUUUCAACGGUGAAGAUAAUGACGGUAACCGUAGAAGAAGCCCCGGCUAACUUCGUGCCAGCAGCCGCGGUAAUACGAAGGGGGCUAGCGUUGUUCGGAAUUACUGGGCGUAAAGCGCACGUAGGCGGAUAUUUAAGUCAGGGGUGAAAUCCCGGGGCUCAACCUCGGAACUGCCUUUGAUACUGGGUAUCUUGAGUAUGGAAGAGGUAAGUGGAAUUGCGAGUGUAGAGGUGAAAUUCGUGGAUAUUCGCAGGAACACCAGUGCGAAGGCGGCUCACUGGUCCAUU
rnacentral:rRNA from 1 species